AUAUAAGGCCGGUUUACACGACCAGUGUUUUGGGCACGGCACCCCUAAAAAUGGGCACCCGUGCCCAAAAUUUUAGGCACGGCACCUCUGCCUUUUGGCGUGUAAACGUGACAAUAAUCGGCACUGGUGCCGCAAAAUUUAAACGUGCCGAGACUUUCUCACGAGGUAGUCUCGGCACGUCUAGCAAGGGGUGCCGUGCCCAAAUUUCGAAAAAAAUAAAAAA
rnacentral:lncRNA from 1 species